rnacentral:rRNA from 1 species
UUCGCAAUGCCCGAAAGGGUGACGAAGCGACGCCGCGUGUGGGAAGAAGGCCUUCGGGUUGUAAACCACUGUCGGGAGUUAAGAAAUGCAAGGAUAUUAAUAGUGUCUUUGUUUGACUAAGGCUCCGGAGGAAGCCACGGCUAACUCUGUGCCAGCAGCCGCGGUAAUACAGAGGCGGCAAGCGUUGUUCGGAAUUAUUGGGCGUAAAGAGCACGUAGGCGGCUAUGUAAGUCGGUUGUGAAAGCCUUCCGCUCAACGGAAGAACAGCAUCCGAUACUACAUGGCUUGAGUGCGGGAGGGGAGAGUGGAACUUCUGGUGGAGCGGUGAAAUACGUAGAUAUCAGAAGGAACGCCGGCGGCGAAAGCGGCUCUCUGGCCCAUAACUGACGCUGAGUGUGCGAAAGCUAGGGGAGCAAACGGGAUUAGAUACCCCGGUAGUCCUAGCCGUAAACGAUGGGCACUAAGUAGAGGGGUUUU